GACUCAAUCCCCGGACCUGGGAUCACGCCCUGGGAUCACACCUCUACCACUGAGCCACGCAGGAAAGGAAUCCUGCCAACAAUUCCAUGUGGUUAUUUGGGAAACAGAGCCUUCCCUAGGCGAGCCUUCAGAGGAGACCCAGCUUUGAUGGAUGCCUUGCCUGCAGCCUUGUGGGAGACUGUGAAGCAGAAGACUCAGUGAAGCCUUACCAUAGGCAAUUUAUAGCACUGACCUCUAUCAGUGCCUCUCACUGACUUUGAUGUGAAGAUGAUUUUUCCUGCAGUUACUCUUUCUACAAAAUUAAAAAUGUUGAGCAUAAAGAAAUAACAUUCACAGUUUUACAUUGACUUACUGAUUUCCUGUGGUUUUUCCAUCCACCACACUACCUGAAAGUUUUUGCUUUUGAGCAGUGUUUUCUUCUGUUUGACAUGCAAAAAAGCUAAAGGGAAUUACCCAAGGACCCUUCCAAGCACAUUCUUGGAUGAAUUGUCCUGUGAGAAGCUGAGGUGAGGAGAAGCUGGAAGUAGAACUGGGGAGAGCUUGAAUAAAUUGUCUCUCUUUUGAUGGGAAGAAUAAACCUAAUUCUUGUUCAGUCAUAUGAGAUUUUAUUUAUUUAUUCAUGAGAGACACACAGAGAGAGGCAGAGACACAGGCAGAGGAUGCAGGACCCCAUCCCAGGACCCCAGGAUCACGACCUGAGCCAAAGGCUGAUGCUCAACCACUGAGCCCACCCAGGGGCCCCGAUUUUCUGCAGAAUGAUGUUUAUGAGACUAACCAAACUACCUUCCAGAUGGCUUCUAUCUACCACAGUCUUCCUCCCCUGUGUAAGAGAAUGCAAGUAGAUGCUGAUGUUUGAAGCAAGAACGUUCAAGAAUUGCUGCCUGACUUUUAACCCAAGGAUUGGAAUGGCAUUUUACUUGGCUCUGGGGAUACAAGGCUGAAUAAGGCAUGGUUCCUGCCUUUCCAGUGCCAAUAACCCUUGGAGAAAGAAAAUAGACAAACAUGAACACUAUACAAUAUGACAUGUAUGCCAGUCGAGAGAGCUAUUCAUCUCAUUGUCAGAGAUUUCCAGUAAAAGUCAUAGUAAGAAUCAAAUGUAAUCCCCUAAGUACACUCACAACAAGUUAGCUCCAGCCAUGCCAGAAAUUCUCAGUGGAAUUCCAACUCAAGUGUUGUGUGUGAUCAAUCCAACAGGUUAGGAAAUUGAGACCCGGGAAGAUGAAAGUGAUUUUCCCGAGCACAUACCUCAUUAUCCUUCUCCUCAUCACAGCAGCAAACAGUGCUUGCCUCGUGCCAACUACUGAUCUAGAAGGACUGACUGGCUGUGAAUAUCUCUUGGCUAUCUGAAAAAUCAAAUCAGUCAUUAAAAGACCAAGUGUUACCACGGAAGAGGUAAAAAAAAAUGAGGUGCUGACUCUGAAAAACAUACCCAGGGGAGAACGGCUAACUGUUCAGAAUAUUGGCUGGAACGAGUGAAUGAUUUGCUCAUCAUUAGCCAGAAGCUGGAGAGAGGUGGAUAUAUGGCUACUGGACUCAGUUGAGAGAUACCAUGCAAGAGGAGAAGAAGCCUGACAGAUUUCGCAAGUUCUGACAGUUAUAGCAGCUUCACCUAUGGGGAGACUGGCUGGGCUAAGACAGGAAGGACCCCUUCAGGAUGUGCAUUAUGGCUGCUGCUGCUGCUACUGAAUUUGAGGCAUGCCAUGCACCGCUUCUGCAGUGAUAGCUUUGUUUUUGCAAAGUGAAUGGAAUGGAGUUUGUGGGGAUGUAGAACGCAGGCACUGAGAAACCUACAUGAAUGUGUAAGAAUGACCACAAGGCACCAAACGCUAAUUAUGUUGAUGCAAUUCUAUCUGAUGUUCUACUCCUUAAAUAGGUCAUGUGGUUUCAUUGACAGAGGGGUAUGGUGAUUGCCCUUUGAGGGAGAGUCUUGGCCCAACUGAAGCAGACCUGGGUUUUCCCUCUAUUACAGUAGUCACACUGGCUUCUGAGAGAAGUGCUAACAAACAAUGAAACUCUUAUAACAGGACAUCCAUGGCAAGGACAUGGCGAACUCAAACUCUGAAGCACCAAGCCGGAUUCUCAUGGUCCGCGGGAUCAAGAUUAACAUCUGGACCCAAGGCAUUUUCAUUCAUCAUUCUUCCAAGGCAAUUGUGGUGCAGGCUGGAAUUUCUGUGACCUUAGUAAUGUGCAGACCCUUUUUUGCCAAAGACCUUUGAAGACUGCACCGGGUCUGGUCACUCCAGCGGGAUAGCCGAAUGCACCAACCCUUUUCUGGAACGCGUCGAGAGCCUUGCGGCCAAGCACUCGCGGGCGGGGAAGGUGGCGCCCCCCGCCCCCG